CCUCCUCAAAAGAUCCCGAGAUCCAGUUUUCAAAGCAGAUCGGCCGUUCUUAUUUCUACUGCAACAGGUUCACACAGUGGUGAAAUAAAAAACCAUCCAGGAAACUUUUCUACAUUGAUGCAACGUUUCCCAGAGCUUCAUCUGAUGACCUGAAACAGAACUGACCUGCUGAUGGAGGACCUGUUGAAGAACCCUAACUCUGUAACUGAUGAAGAUAAAGAAGAAGGUUUUCCUGUCAGGUGUAACUGAUGAUGAUGAAGGUUUUCCUGUCAGGUGUUACUGAUGAAGGUGACGAUGGGGGACGACUGGGGGACCCUGAGGGGGUCAGCUGGAGUCUUCCUCUUGGACGUCCCUUAGUUCUGCCCCUAGUUCUGCUGCUACAGGCCUAGGCUGCUGGAGGACCUCUCUGGAUGCACUGAGCCCUUCUCUAUCUACCAUUGUAUUUAAUAUACAGUAUAUAUACCAUUAUUGCAUUACACUCACUCUGUUUCUCCCUGUGUCCUUUCUCCGAGUGUCCCUGAUCCCAGAGC
ensembl:lncRNA